rnacentral:rRNA from 1 species
CCUACGGGAGGCAGCAGUGGGGAAUAUUGGACAAUGGGCGAAAGCCUGAUCCAGUAAUGCCGCGUGAGUGAUGAAGGCCUUAGGGUUGUAAAGCUCUUUUACCAGGGAUGAUAAUGACAGUACCUGGAGAAUAAGCUCCGGCUAACUCCGUGCCAGCAGCCGCGGUAAUACGGAGGGAGCUAGCGUUGUUCGGAAUUACUGGGCGUAAAGCGUACGUAGGCGGUUAUUCAAGUCAGAGGUGAAAGCCUGGAGCUCAACUCCAGAACUGCCUUUGAAACUAGAUAGCUAGAAUCUUGGAGAGGUGAGUGGAAUUCCGAGUGUAGAGGUGAAAUUCGUAGAUAUUCGGAAGAACACCAGUGGCGAAGGCGACUCACUGGACAAGUAUUGACGCUGAGGUACGAAAGCGUGGGGAGCAAACAGGAUUAGAUACCCUGGUAGUCCACGCCGUAAACGAUGAUAACUAGCUGUUCGGGCUCUACGAGCUUGAGUGGCGCAGCUAACGCAUUAAGUUAUCCGCCUGGGGAGUACGGUGCAAGNUUAAAACUCAAAUGAAAUUGACGGNUUGAGCGNGCGAGACGACACGAGGAGAGG